rnacentral:tRNA from 5 species
GUGGCUGUAGCUCAGUCGGUAGAGCGCCUGGUUGUGGUCCAGGAGGUCGCGAGUUCAAGCCUCGUCAGCCACCCCA